CAGCAGCCGCGGUAAUACCGGCGGCCCGAGUGGCGGCCACUAUUAUUGGGCUUAAAGCGUCCGUAGCCGGGUUGGGAAGUCCUCCGGGAAAUCUGGCCGCUUAACGGUCAGAAUGCCGGAGGAUACUCCCAGCCUAGGGACCGGGAGAGGCCGAGGGUAUUCCCGGAGUAGGGGUGAAAUCCUAUAAUCCCGGGAGGACCACCUGUGGCGAAGGCGCUCGGCUGGAACGCGUCCGACGGUGAGGGACGAAGGCCAGGGGAGCAAACCGGAUUAGAUACCCGGGUAGUCCUGGCGGUAAACGAUGCGGACUUUGUGUCGGACAAGCUAUGAGCUUGUCCGGUGCCGGAGGGAAACCGUUAAGUCCGCCGCCUGGGGAGUACGGCCGCAAGGCUGAAACUUAAAGGAAUUGGCGGG
rnacentral:rRNA from 1 species